rnacentral:rRNA from 1 species
GAUGAACGCUGGCGGCGUGCCUAACACAUGCAAGUCGAACGGACAGACCCUACUUUUGUGGGGUGCUCGAGUGGCGCGCGGGUGAGUAACACAUGAGUAUCCUGCCCUUGACUUUGGGGUAACUUCAGGAAACUGGGGCUAAUACCGGAUAGGAGCUCCUGCUGCAUGGUGUGGGUUGGAAAGUUUCGGCGGUGGGGGAUGGAUUCGCGGCUUAUACGCUUGCUGGUGGGGUAGUGGCUGACCAAGGCUUUGACGGGUAGCCGGCCUUGGAGGGUGACCGGCGACAAUGGUCCUGAGGUACGGCGCAGUCUGCUACGGGAGGCAGCAGUGGGGAACAUUGCGCAAUGGGCGGACGCCUGUUGCAGCAACGCCGCGUGCGGGAUGACGUCCUUCGGGUUGUAAACCGCUUUCGCAUGUGACGAAGCGUGAGUGACGGUAAUGGGUAAAGAAGCACCGGCUAACUACGUG